UACGUAGGAUGCAAGCGUUGUCCGGAUUUAUUGGGCGUAAAGAGAACGUAGGCGGCCAUUUAAGUUUGGUCUUAAAGACUGGGGCUCAACCUCAGGAAUGGAUCGAAUACUGGGUGGCUAGAGGACGUCAGAGGAAGGUGGAAUUCCCAGUGUAGCGGUGAAAUGCGUAGAUAUUGGGAGGAACACCAGUGGCGAAAGCGACCUUCUGGGACGUUCCUGACGCUGAGGUUCGAAAGCUCGGGGAGCAAACAGG
rnacentral:rRNA from 1 species